GAUGUGGAUUAAUUCGAUGCAACGCGAAGAACCUUACUACCCUUGACAUGUCCGGAACUUGCCAGAGAUGGCUUGUGCCGAAAGGGAAUCGGAACACAGGUGCUGCAUGGCUGUCGUCAGCUCGUGUCGUGAGAUGUUGGUUAAGUCCGCAACGAGCGCAACCCUUAUCAUUAGUUGCUACGCAAGGGCACUCCAAUGAGACUGCCGGUGACAAACCGGAGGAAGUGGGGAUGACGUCAAGUCCUCAUGGCCCUUAUGGGUAGGGCUUCACACAUCAUACAAUGGUCGGUACAGAGGGUUGCCAAGCCGCGAGGCGGAGCCAAUCCCACAAAGCCGAUCGUAGUCCGGAUUGUUCUCUGCAACUCGAGAGCAUGAAGUCGGAAUCGCUAGUAAUCGCAGGUCAGCAUACUGCGGUGAAUACGUUCCCGGGUCUU
rnacentral:rRNA from 1 species